rnacentral:rRNA from 1 species
AUUGAACGCUGGCGGCAGGCCUAACACAUGCAAGUCGAACGAGUGGCGGACGGGAGAGUACUGACUGGGCAACUGCCUGAUGGAGGGGGAUAACUACUGGAAACGGUAGCUAAUACCGCAUACCAUCGGAUGUGCCCAGAUGGGAUUAGCUAGUAGGUGGGGUAACGGCUCACCUAGGCGACGAUCCCUAGCUGGUUUGAGAGGACGACCAUCCACACUGGAACUGAGACACGGUCCAGACUCCUACGGGAGGCAGCAGUGGGGAAUAUUGGACAAUGGGCGCAAGCCUGAUGCAGCCAUGCCGCGUGUGUGAAGAAGGCCUUCGGGUUGUAAAGUACUUUCAGCAGGGAGGCGGUACCCGCAGAAGAAGCACCGGCUAACUCCGUGCCAGCAGCCGCGGUAAUAC